UCGGGCCUACGGGGCGCAGCAGUAGGGAAUCUUCCACAAUGGACGAAAGUCUGAUGGAGCAACGCCGCGUGAGUGAAGAAGGGUUUCGGCUCGUAAAGCUCUGUUGGUAGUGAAGAAAGAUAGAGGUGGUAACUGGCCUUUAUUUUACGGUAAUUACUUAGAAAGUCACGGCUAACGACGUGCCAGCAGCCACGGUAAUACGUAGGUGGCAAGCGUUGUCCGGGUUUAUUGGGCGGAAAGCGAGUGCAGGCGGGU
rnacentral:rRNA from 1 species